AUAUUCGGCUAAUAUUUAGUAAUAAUAAAUAUUGGCUGAUAAUAAAAAUAUUUUAUGGUAAAAAGGGAUGGUUUUGUACUAAAUAGCCACGGCAUGUAAUUUUGUUCUUGCAGGUGAAUUGGUUGUGCACAUGUACGCAUGGUGACCUUUUAAAGGGAUCCAAAUUAGAUCAGAUCCAAGUAGAAAUAGCCAAUUAGCUUUA
rnacentral:lncRNA from 1 species